GAUGAACGCUGGCGGCGUGCCUAAUACAUGCAAGUCGAGCGAACGGACGAGAAGCUUGCUUCUCUGAUGUUAGCGGCGGACGGGUGAGUAACACGUGGAUAACCUACCUAUAAGACUGGGAUAACUUCGGGAAACCGUAGCUAAUACCGGAUAAUAUUUUGAACCGCAUGGUUCAAAAGUGAAAGACGGUCUUGCUGUCACUUAUAGAUGGAUCCGCGCUGCAUUAGCUAGUUGGUAAGGUAACGGCUUACCAAGGCAACGAUGCAUAGCCGACUUGAGAGGGUGAUCGGCCACACUGGAACUGAGACACGGUCCAGACUCCUACGGGAGGCAGCAGUAGGGAAUCUUCCGCAAUGGGCGAAAGCCUGACGGAGCAACGCCGCGUGAGUGAUGAAGGUCUUCGGAUCGUAAAACUCUGUUAUUAGGGAAGAACAUAUGUGUAAGUAACUGUGCACAUCUUGACGGUACCUAAUCAGAAAGCCACGGCUAACUACGUGCCAGCAGCCGCGGUAAUACGUAGGUGGCAAGCGUUAUCCGGAAUUAUUGGGCGUAAAGCGCGCGUAGGCGGUUUUUUAAGUCUGAUGUGAAAGCCCACGGCUCAACCGUGGAGGGUCAUUGGAAACUGGAAAACUUGAGUGCAGAAGAGGAAAGUGGAAUUCCAUGUGUAGCGGUGAAAUGCGCAGAGAUAUGGAGGAACACCAGUGGCGAAGGCGACUUUCUGGUCUGUAACUGACGCUGAUGUGCGAAAGCGUGGGGAUCAAACAGGAUUAGAUACCCUGGUAGUCCACGCCGUAAACGAUGAGUGCUAAGUGUUAGGGGGUUUCCGCCCCUUAGUGCUGCAGCUAACGCAUUAAGCACUCCGCCUGGGGAGUACGACCGCAAGGUCGAAACUCAAAGGAAUUGACGGGGACCCGCACAAGCGGUGGAGCAUGUGGUUUAAUUCGAAGCAACGCGAAGAACCUUACCAAAUCUUGACAUCCUUUGACAACUCUAGAGAUAGAGCCUUCCCCUUCGGGGGACAAAGUGACAGGUGGUGCAUGGUUGUCGUCAGCUCGUGUCGUGAGAUGUUGGGUUAAGUCCCGCAACGAGCGCAACCCUUAAGCUUAGUUGCCAUCAUUAAGUUGGGCACUCUAAGUUGACUGCCGGUGACAAACCGGAGGAAGGUGGGGAUGACGUCAAAUCAUCAUGCCCCUUAUGAUUUGGGCUACACACGUGCUACAAUGGACAAUACAAAGGGCAGCGAAACCGCGAGGUCAAGCAAAUCCCAUAAAGUUGUUCUCAGUUCGGAUUGUAGUCUGCAACUCGACUACAUGAAGCUGGAAUCGCUAGUAAUCGUAGAUCAGCAUGCUACGGUGAAUACGUUCCCGGGUCU
rnacentral:rRNA from 1 species